UAGGCUGCGGGUGCUAAUACAUGCAAGUCGAGCGCGGGAAGCGAGCUGAUCCCUUCGGGGUGACGCUCGUGGAACGAGCGGCGGACGGGUGAGUAACACGUGGGCAACCUGCCUGUAAGAUCGGGAUAACUCCGGGAAACCGGGGCUAAUACCGGGUAAUACUUUCUUUCGCAUGAAGGAAAGUUGAAAGAUGGCUUCUCGCUAUCACUUACAGAUGGGCCCGCGGCGCAUUAGCUAGUUGGUGAGGUAACGGCUCACCAAGGCGACGAUGCGUAGCCGACCUGAGAGGGUGAUCGGCCACACUGGGACUGAGACACGGCCCAGACUCCUACGGGAGGCAGCAGUAGGGAAUCUUCCGCAAUGGACGAAAGUCUGACGGAGCAACGCCGCGUGAACGAUGAAGGUCUUCGGAUCGUAAAGUUCUGUUGUUAGGGAAGAACAAGUACCGUGCGAAUAGAGCGGUACCUUGACGGUACCUAACGAGGAAGCCCCGGCUAACUACGUGCCAGCAGCCGCGGUAAUACGUAGGGGGCAAGCGUUGUCCGGAAUUAUUGGGCGUAAAGCGCGCGCAGGCGGUUCCUUAAGUCUGAUGUGAAAGCCCACGGCUCAACCGUGGAGGGUCAUUGGAAACUGGGGAACU
rnacentral:rRNA from 1 species